GCUCACGGCAACACAGGAUCCUCAACCCACUGAGUGAGGCCAGGGAUUGAACCCGCAACCUCAUCAUUCCUAGUCGGAUUUGUUUCCACUGCGCCACGACGGGAACUCCAGAAACAUUCUUGUUAAAAUCUGUUAAAUCUGGAUAUUCUGGAAAUAUCUAGAUGGCUGUAAGUAUAUAUUUUUAGCUUCUAUGGUGUCAUAAGUCCUGCAUGUUUUGGUGGUGGUUUUACUCUGCACUCCUGACAUAUUCUUUAGGCUGUGAAGGUGAACACUGAGUCAGUGAUACAGAGAAUUCAGUCGCUCCCCUUGGAUGUCUUUCCAACUAACGAAGACGCAGGAUUUCAGCCUGAAUUACCUGGAUCAUGGACUAAAUGGGUCACCCACCUUGAUCAAUGAGUGACUGCCCAGCUUCUCCUUUGGAAUGUUACUGGGAUGCCUGAGAGCUGUGCCCUUUUGCUUCUCAUCCUGUCACCUGACACUGAAGACCCAGGCUGCCCUAUUUCCAAGCAUAAUGCUCUAACUGGGCUUGGCUCUGGGAGAGAAGACCAGGUAAAGGGUAAUCUAGUAGGUGCCAGGAGCCUUGGCACCCAUUCCCAUGCUGCAGGUGUGCAGAAAGCCCCAGCCCUUGAAGGGGGAGGUGGAGGAAUGAAAGGGAGGGUACAGGAGACUUUUUACUGUAGUAUUUGUUUGUAAAAAAAGAUGAACAUUGUGGCAUGACAGGAUAUCAUAGGAGCAUAUUUAAAAUCAUUUUGGCUUACCUGCAACCCCCCACCAGCACUGGUUUGGAUUCGCUCCCUGAGCUCACAGUUGAUGGUUUGUGAGUCCCCAUGGGGCAAGCACUGGGGUUCCUGCCUUGUCCUCCCACCCUCUGCUCCCCCGUUUCCCUGAGUGUCUGGAGGAUGACCAGCCCAUGAUCCUAAGCUGGAAUCCCAAAGCUCAGUCAUUUGCAAACUGCCUGCAUGGUUUUGGACAAAUGCUGGUACCUUCUAGAGUUUCUCAAGAUUUUAAGUCAGGUGGGGAGGGAUCUUGUUUAAAAUGCAGAUUCUGAUUCAGUAGGUGUGAGAGGAACCCAAGAUCUGGUUCAUGAACGUGCUCCCCGGUGAGGCUGGUGCUGCUGGCCCGCUGAUCUCAUUCUGAGUUGCCAGGAUCUCGGACCAUUUCCAGCUUAACGCUUUGCUCUUCAGUCCUCCGUUUUUUAAACCUGCAGUACCUUUAAGGACCUUGAAAAUGAUCACUAUUCAAAUGCAGACAGUGCAAAUGCAGAGUAUGGCUUGUUAACUUCUCAGGAGCUGUGGGCACCUGCUGGCAGGCCCAAGUUGAGCCUUAAUUUCCUUUGUUACGGUGGAGGUUAAUAAGUAUAGAGACUGUUCAGCAUCCUGGCAUCAAAGGGAGACUUUCUCCUUGACUAGGCCAGAGGAUUAAAAGAGAGUUGAAAAGGAGAUGGCUUUCCUCUGCAAGCUUAUUUAACGCUGUAUUCCAAAACUGUCUCCUCUGACACCCCAGGUCACCAGGGAAUCUCACUUUGGGGAACACUGCUUUUAAGUAAUUUGCAGGAAGACAUGCAUGUAUCAGCUGAAACCUAUUAGUGAGAUGGAUGACUCUCUAGAGUUAAAAUGAUUAGAGGGAUGUGUUGCCAUUUUUGCUUACUCUGGGUUCUCUUUCCUAUUGGGGGAAAAAGGGUAACCCCCAUUUCUGAAAUGCUGCUAACCAGGGACCCAGUGAGUAGCGACAUCUUAGGUGUAACAGGGAAAGCACUUUUUGGGAAACUGGAUUUCAGGCGAACAGAAAAUCAACCUUCAAUACUUAGGAAACCUAUCAAAGUAGAUUUCUUCCUCUGCUCCUCCAUCUCCUCUUCCUUCAAGUUACUAUUGAUUAUGUUCCAUUUGGAAUGAGUCCAUUUAUUUGAUGCAUUUUUUAGAAUGGGGUACUUCCGUUAUCCUUUUCUAUUGUAAAAACAAUAAGGUAACAUUAAUAGACCUUUUGUUUUUAAGGAAAAGAAAUUGACUUCAAGUCCAAUAACGUUCAGUGAAAUAAUGUUAAAAGUGGAGACUCUUAGUCAAAUGCCCUGAGACCAGUGAACAAACAGCCUCAAACAAACAACAAGCCUAUUUUAUUUUUUACUUUUUUUCUUUCUUGACUGCACCCAUGGCAUGCAGAAGUUCCCGGGCCAAGGAUUGAAUCCGUGUCACAGCCAGGUCCUUAACCCACUGAGCCACAAGAGAACUCCUCAUUUUAGAGUUUCAGUGGUAAUCACUUACAAGGAUUUGAAUUUAGCCAAAUGUGUCACUUAACUUUGUAAAGGAAACAGGUGCUUGUCUAUCACUAGCUUUGAAGCAUUGCUUCUGACUUUACCAGUAUUCUCCCCAUCCCGGGAUAACAUUUAGAAUAAGUAUUUCAACAUACAGAACAAAUACCUUGUGAAUAAACAUCAAUUUCACACAACCAAAAAAAAAAAAAAAAUCAAUAAAUCUGCUUUAGGCAUUUGGAAAACCCUGUACUUUUAAAGGAAGGAGUUAGAGUGUUAAGUCACUGAAAACCCGACCCCCUCAAACCCAGGCUCUUAGCUUUCAAUGUUUUCCAACAUGACCUUUACUUAGAAAAAUAUAAUUGGGAACUUUCUGAAUACCUGUCUCAUUGUUGGUGCUACUCAUUCAAGGAUGGACAGCAACUGCCCACAUGACAAUUCAUGUGAGAAAUGCUACUUAGUAUUUUUUUUAAAAUCUCAUAAUUGGAGUCCUAGGGAAAGUGGUACUUUUUGGUACCAUUUCUUUUUUACCCUUGUCUAUAGUUUUUGAAGAAUAAAUUGAAUGAAGAGGUGGCUAGAUAUCAUUAUAUCUGGCAUUUUAUUUAUUUUUCUUGAGUCUGAAAGAUUUAAUGAUCCCAAAUAUUCUUACUCUAUGCUUUGAGAGUUUUAAAGUUGCUUUCCAGUGACAGUCUGAAACAACUGCAUAAAAGUUUGAAAGUAAUGUUUUACUCAUCUUUUUUUAAGCAGUAGAAUCAAUAUUUUGGAGAUGAAAGGAUUGGUGUCCCUAAAAAGAGGAUUAAAAUCUUUCAGUUUGUGAAAUACAUAUUCCAUUUAAAAUUGAUAUAUAAAAUCCUUGGACUUCUAAAAAUAUAUGUAUGUUUUCAGUGUCUAUACUUCAUGCAUAUUAAAUAUUGCUUUAUAUCCUUGGACUUUUUUUUGUAAAUAGAUUUGUGCUUUCUUUGAAUAAAGAGAAACUACCUACAUGACCAUAUGACCUCCCAUUUUAUUUGUAGUAAAAGAUUAAAAUUUCCUUAUUAUAGUAUCUAUAAAUAUGCAAACUAAGUGCAACUUUUAUUUUUAAAGUUAAAAAUAAAAAUCAGAGCUCAGUUCCUACGACAAAAGCUGGGGAAAACACUAUUCUUGUUUUUUGGGUUUUUAGAUGAAGACUAGAAAAUAAACUCUUUGAACUAUGAAAUUACUCCAGACUAGCUGGAGGCACCAACGGAUCAUUAAUUACUGGAAAGAAGCUUUUAAAUGCAGUUUUUAAAUUUUAAGCAUCUUUUCUCUUGAAUACCAUACUCCCCUCCUGCCUUUUUUUUUCCUUCCUUCAUUUGUGAAUUUAAUUCCGGAGUUGAGAAGACAGGGCUUUUUGCUUUGGGGGGUGGGGGGUAACUAAAUCUCUUUCUUAUGCUUUAAAAAGUUUAACCUGCUGAUGAAAGCACAGAAGGUUGGAAUUAUUUUGAACAGGAAUUGGCUGUGCAAAUAUUUAAUUGAGUGUUCUUCGGCAAGUCUUUUUAGGGCUCAAGUAUUGGAACCACCCUUUAAUUGGUCUUUUGCAGUCUUGAUUAGCUGAUCUCAAGAUUUAUAUGUUGAAAUGGAUAUUAAAAAUCGGUUAGGCUUCUAGUUUUUACUUUUUUCCCUUUUCCCCUCUUUGAAUAGUGGAAUCCUUUUUUUUUUUUUCCUUUCCCAUCCAAACUUCCGGCAAAGCCCCCAAUGUAUAAAGCGGGAACAGCUGGUGUUGGGGGCGCCCUGUGUCUCCGUGGGCGUAGCCGGCUCCACCUCGCUGCGCUGGGCGGACGGACGUGCAGAGGGAGGGCGGGAGUCUUGCGGAUUUUAUGUCGUGCUGAGGACGAUAGAGAAGGUAGUCUGUUUACCAUUUAUGCAUCGAAGGAGGAUGCAGUCGGCAGUGCGGUCUGUCGGCUGUGUGGGGGCUGAAAUGCUCAAGUUUCCAAGCUCCAGCGCUUUGACCCCGUUUGGUUCUACAAAAACAGUUUGGGCGCAGUCACUUUAACAUCAGCCUUGCUUAUGUUAAGAUAAUUGUAAAGAUUGAGUCAGAUGAUGCCUCUGGAAAGCCUGAGGGUGUGAGUGCUCCGUGAAUGCUGACCUGGGCAUCGAAUGUGGAAGUGAUGACUCCUUGGAACAGGUGCAGCCUUUGGAUUCAUGAUCACCCGGGAGAGGUGUCGGAGGACAUUGACUUUUGCUUGUUAGGGAAGUGCGCUCUGUAGGAUGGUACUUUGCCCUUUCGCCCGGCUUUGUUUCCUCUUGUCCCGCACCUACGGGAGGAGAUGGUAUCUCUACGUUUCCUUUGGCAGCUGGGUUUAUGGAGAGGUUAGUUUGCGAGCUGGGGCAGCCGCUCCAUUCCACAUCUCUUGAUUUCCUCUCACGUUUAGCUGCAGCUGUUCACCGUGUCUGUUCCUGGCAUGACCUGAUCAGCCCUCUCUUGCUUUAUCACAAAUGCCAGCAUUCCUCAUGUCUUGCCUAGAGGGUCAUUUUGAGGCCAAAGACCUACCUGGAUUUUUUUUUUUUUUAAUUUAGUGAGAGUAUACUACAGUUCCAAUAAAAUAGUAUAUAGAAAUAAUGCCGAGAAAAAUGCCUAAAAUAUGGCAGAUACCCAAUAAUGAUUAAUGGAAGUAAAUUCGUUGAAUCUACAGUAAUUUUCUUUCUUACAACCAUUUUGUUUUUCUUUUGUCUUUUUAGGGCCGCACCUGAGGCCUAUGGAGGUUCCUGGGCUAGGGGUGUUGAAUCAGAGCUGUAGCUGCCAGUCUAUCCCAGAGGCACCGCCACACCAGAUCCGAGCUGCAUCUGUGACCUACACCUCAGCUUACAGCCGCUUAAUGCUGCUGCUCUUGUAACCAUGAUGCGAAGAGCAUAGGGGGCUCAUGGAAGAGUUGGUGGGACCAUAAACCCCACGAGGACAGUCAUGUAAAUUGAAGAACAUGCAUAGGUUGCUUGGAGACACUCCUCCAAGGCUCUCUUGGGCUUCUCCAUGUCUUGCUGGCCGUACCCAACAUGCUUUUCACCUGGGCCGUUUCUUAGGGUUGUGUUGGUUGAAGGAGGAGGCCCUGUCUCUCUGGGACAGGGAAGAGCCUCGCCUCCUGCUUGUUAGAAACCCACAGUGUCCCGAAGCACAGGUUGCAUAGCUGGGCCGUAAAUAUAAUAAUAUAUAACAUGAUAAUAUCUGGGCCCCUCGGUGCCACUGCCAUUGGACUCUGGGGUGAGGAGAACUGACAAAUAUUAUGCUAGUGCUGCCUGCUGUUCGGCAGAUAAUUCAGUCCUUGGUCUCUGACCCAGGAGUGUCAUGUCUUCUGCUGGGCAAGUAGGGGAAUAGCAAAUCCAGCAAGACGCAGGUGUACCCUGUCUAAGCCGAAGCCAUAGCCGCUAAAUGUGUUCAGGUGUGUCCUGUUCAGAACAUAAUUGCCUGGGCUUCACCUACAAAGAAUGUGGUUAGGAAGGUGGGAGUGGGCGACUCCUUGGAUUUUCUCAGAUUUUGAAGACCCACUGAGGCUUCCCGGGCUCUUUAUGGCUGUGCUGCUGGUCCGUGUGACUCCAGGGAACCAAGGGAGACCAAAGCAGUUUACCAAGAAUGGUUAUGUCCUGAGUUUAGGUAAGAUGGAGAACGGACACCUAUGACUGGCUGAUUUUGAGAGCCCUGAGCAAGAGGAUUCAGGAUUAUUGGUGGCAGAGGAAGCGAGCACAGAGUAGUGGGAGCUGCCUGGGCAGCCCCAAAACGCACACACUGGGCAGGGCACAGCGACUGUCAGAUGUCUGGCUCUGCAAGGAGAGAGAUGGGAAGUCCAGGCCAAGGCAGUGGACCAGAGCUGAGAAGGAGCAGGAACUGACCAUCCCAGCAGCCUGGCUCUGCUGAGUUGGACUGCGGAAGAGACUGGUCGUUGGCUUUUCAAUACUCGGGGAAUGAAUUGUUGACAAGCAGUCAGUUAACCAGCCUCUUGGAGAAUGACCCUGUCAGCACCUCCAGGCUGGUUUAGGCAAGUGAGAGAAGCGUUUAUAAUUAACAGUUGUGCCGCUGAUGAAAGCCAAGUAUGAACAUUUGUUCAGAGCAGUAAUUUGUGUAUGUGUGUUUUAAAAUAAAGCUGUAAAAGUGUGUUUACCAA